UACGGGGGGGGCAAGCGUUGUUCGGAAUUACUGGGCGUAAAGGGCCAGAAGGCGGCCAACUAAGUCGGAUGUGAAAUCCCCAGGCUUAACCUGGGAACUGCAUCCGAUACUGGAUGGCUUGAAUUCGGGAGAGGGAUGCAGAAUUCCAGGUGUAGAGGUGAAAUUCGUAGAUAUUCGGAAGAACACCAGUGGCGAAGGCGACUUACUGGACACAUGUUGACGCUGAGGUGCGAAAGCGUGGGGAGCAAACAGG
rnacentral:rRNA from 1 species